rnacentral:rRNA from 1 species
CCAAUCGAACCCGGAGAUAGCUGGUUCUCCUCGAAAUAGCUUUAGGGCUAGCCUCAUAUUAGUUUAGCGGAGGUAGAGCACUGAAUUCCUAAGGGGGCGUCAAAGCUUACCAAGGGAUAUCAAACUCCGAAUGCCGCAUAAAUGAUGUACGGGAGUCAGACUGCACGAGAUAAGUUGGGUAGUCAAAAGGGAAAGAGCCCAGACCUACAGCUAAGGUCCCAAAGUGUGUGUUAAGUGGAAAAGGAUGUGGGAUUUCAAAGACAACUAGGAUGUUGGCUCAGAAGCAGCCACACAUUCAAAGAGUGCGUAAUAGCUCACUAGUCGAGAGGUCCUGCGCCGAAAAUGUCCGGGGCUGAAACACAACACCGAAGCUUAGGAAUGUAUGUAAGUACAUUGGUAGAGGAGCAUUCUUAGUGCGGAGAAGCGGUACCGAUAAGGAGCCGUGGAGCGUUAAGAAGAGAGAAUGCCGGAAUGAGUAGCGAGAUGGAGGUGGGAAUCCUCCAGGCCGAAUAUCCAAGGUUUCCAGAGUAAAGCUGAUCUGCUCUGGGUAAGUCGGGGCCUAAGGCGAGGCUGAAAAGCGUAGUCGAUGGACAACAGGUUGAAAUUCCUGUACCGCGUAUUAUCAGAACUGUGGGGACGCAGAAGGACAACACAACCCGGGAAUGGGAAGACCGGGGCAAGCGAGGUAGGAGUACGGUUGGCAAAUCCGCCGUACAAUCCGAAGACGUGACGCGUAGCGAACUAUAAGUAGCGAAGUGUGUGAUUCCGGCUGCCAAGAAAAGCCGCUAUUGUGUAAUACGUGCCCGUACCGUAAACCGACACAGGUAGAUGAGGAGAGAAUCCUAAGGCCGGCGGGAGAAGCAUUGUUAAGGAACUCGGCAAAAUGACCCCGUAACUUCGGGAGAAGGGGUGCCACAGAGAUGUGGCCGCAGAGAAUAGGCUCAAGCAACUGUUUAGCAAAAACACAGGUCUAUGCAAAACCGAAAGGUGAGGUAUAUGGGCUGACGCCUGCCCGGUGCUGGAAGGUUAAGAGGAGAGGUUAGCGCAAGCGAAGCUUUGAAUUUAAGCCCCAGUAAACGGCGGCCGUAACUAUAACGGUCCUAAGGUAGCGAAAUUCCUUGUCGGGUAAGUUCCGACCCGCACGAAAGGCGUAAUGAUUUGAGCGCUGUCUCAACAAUGCACCCGGUGAAAUUGAAAUACCAGUGAAGAUGCUGGUUACCUGCGCCA